AUGUGCCCAGAUGGGAUUAGCUUGUUGGUGAGGUAACGGCUCACCAAGGCGACGAUCCCUAGCUGGUCUGAGAGGAUGACCAGCCACACUGGAACUGAGACACGGUCCAGACUCCUACGGGAGGCAGCAGUGGGGAAUAUUGCACAAUGGGCGCAAGCCUGAUGCAGCCAUGCCGCGUGUAUGAAGAAGGCCUUCGGGUUGUAAAGUACUU
rnacentral:rRNA from 1 species